rnacentral:siRNA from 1 species
UACUCGACAUCGCCCUCUUUCCUC